rnacentral:rRNA from 1 species
AGUCGAACGGAGCCAAGAGGAGCUUGCUUUUCUUGACUUAGUGGCGAACGGGUGAGUAACGCGUGAGUAACCUGCCCUGGAGUGGGGGACAACAGUUGGAAACGACUGCUAAUACCGCAUAAGCCCACGAUCCGGCAUCGGAUUGAGGGAAAAGGAUUUAUUCGCUUCAGGAUGGACUCGCGUCCAAUUAGCUAGUUGGUGAGGUAACGGCCCACCAAGGCGACGAUUGGUAGCCGGACUGAGAGGUUGGACGGCCACAUUGGGACUGAGACACGGCCCAGACUCCUACGGGAGGCAGCAGUGGGGGAUAUUGCACAAUGGGGGAAACCCUGAUGCAGCGACGCCGCGUGGAGGAAGAAGGUUUUCGGAUUGUAAACUCCUGUCGUUAGGGACGAUAAUGACGGUACCUAACAAGAAAGCACCGGCUAACUACGUGCCAGCAGCCGCGGUAAAACGUAGGGUGCAAGCGUUGUCCGGAAUUACUGGGUGUAAAGGGAGCGCAGGCGGACCGGCAAGUUGGAAGUGAAAACUAUGGGCUCAACCCAUAAAUUGCUUUCAAAACUGCUGGCCUUGAGUAGUGCAGAGGUAGGUGGAAUUCCCGGUGUAGCGGUGGAAUGCGUAGAUAUCGGGAGGAACACCAGUGGCGAAGGCGACCUACUGGGCACCAACUGACGCUGAGGCUCGAAAGCAUGGGUAGCAAACAGGAUUAGAUACCCUGGUAGUCCAUGCCGUAA